ensembl:lncRNA
CUGUCUCUGUACUGUCUCAGUACUGUCUCUGUCUCAGUACUGUCUCAGUACUGUCUCUGUCUCUGUACUGUCUCAGUACUGUCUCUGUCUCUGUCUCAGUACUGUCUCAGUACUGUCUCUGUCUCAGUACUGUCUCUGUCUCAGUACUGUCUCUGUCUAAGUACUGUCUCAGUACUGUCUCAGUACGGUCUCUGUCUAAGUACGGUCUCUGUCUCAGUACUGUCUCAGUACUGUCUCUGUCUAAGUACUGUCUCAGUACUGUCUCUGUCUCAGUACUGUCUCAGUCUAAUCUCUGUCUCAGUACUGUCUCUGUCUAAGUACUGUCUCAGUACUGUCUCUGUCUCAUCUCUGUCUCUGUACUGUCUCUGUCUCUGUACGGUCUCUGUCUCUGUACGGUCUCUGUCUAAGUACGGUCUCUGUCUAAGUACUGUCUCUGUCUCAGUACUGUCUCUGUACUGUCUCUGUCUCAGUACUGUCUCUGUCUCUGUACGGUCUCUGUCUAAGUACUGUCUCUGUACUGUCUCUGUACUGUCUCUGUCUC